rnacentral:rRNA from 1 species
UACGAAGGGGGCUAGCGUUGCUCGGAAUCACUGGGCGUAAAGCGCACGUAGGCGGAUCUUUAAGUCAGGGGUGAAAUCCUGGAGCUCAACUCCAGAACUGCCUUUGAUACUGAGGAUCUUGAGUCCGGGAGAGGUGAGUGGAACUGCGAGUGUAGAGGUGAAAUUCGUAGAUAUUCGCAAGAACACCAGUGGCGAAGGCGGCUCACUGGCCCGGUACUGACGCUGAGGUGCGAAAGCGUGGGGAGCGAACAGG